UGGGGAAUCUUGGACAAUGGGCGCAAGCCUGAUCCAGGCAUGCCGCGUGAGUGAAGAAGGCCUUCGGGUUGUAAAGCUCUUUUACCAGGGACGAUAAUGACGGUACCUGGAGAAUAAGCCCCGGCAAACUUCGUGCCAGCAGCCGCGGUAAUACGAAGGGGGCUAGCGUUGUUCGGAAUUACUGGGCGUAAAGCGCACGUAGGCGGAUUGUUAAGUCAGAGGUGAAAUCCCGGAGCUCAACUUCGGAACUGCCUCCAAAACUACAAGUCUGGACCUAAGUAGAGGCAAGUGGAAUUGCGAGUGUAGAGGUGAAAUUCGUAGAUAUUCGCAGGAACACCAGUGGCGAAGGCGACUUGCUGGACUUAUGGUGACGCUGAGACGCGAAAGCGUGGGGAGCAAACAGGAUUAGAUACCCAAGUAGUCCCUGAGCGGGCUGGCAAGGCGCAU
rnacentral:rRNA from 1 species